rnacentral:rRNA from 1 species
CUUAGUAACGGCGAGUGAAGCGGCAAAAGCUCAGAUUUGAAAUCUGGCGUCAUUUUGGCGUCCGAGUUGUAAUCUGUAGAGGAGUAUUCGAGUGUAGCUUUGGCUUAAGUUCCUUGGAACAGGGCGUCAUAGAGGGUGAGAACCCCGUUAACGGCCUUUGUCUUAUGCUCAUGUGAAUCUCCUUCAACGAGUCGAGUUGUUUGGGAAUGCAGCUCUAAAUGGGUGGUAAAUUCCAUCUAAAGCUAAAUACUGGCAAGAGACCGAUAGCGCACAAGUAGAGUGAUCGAAAGAUGAAAAGAACUCUGAACAGAGAGUUAAAUAGUACGUGAAAUUGUUGAAAGGGAAGCACUUGCGACCAGACGCACUUGCAGCCGAUCAACCUCCAUUCUUGGUGGUGCACUCGGUUGUAGGUGGGUCAGCAUCAGUUACGGCGGUGGGAAAAAGACCUUGGGAAUGUGGCUCCUCUCGGGGAGUGUUAUAGCCCUUGGUGUAAUGCUGCCAGCUGUGACUGAGGACCGCGCUUCGGCGAGGAUGCUGACAUAAUGGUCGUAAGUGACCCGUCUUGAAACACGGACCAAGGAGUCUAACAUCUAUGCGAGUGUUUGGGUGUUGAAACCCUUACGCGUAAUGAAAGUAAAUGGAGGUGGGAACCGCAAGGUGCACCAUCGACCGAUCCUGAUGUUUUCGGAUGGAUUUGAGUAGGAGCAUAGCUGUUGGGACCCGAAAGAUGGUGAACUAUGCCUGAAUAGGGUGAAGCCAGAGGAAACUCUGGUGGAGGCUCGCAGCGGUUCUGACGUGCAAAUCGAUCGUCAAAUUUGGGUAUAGGGGCGAAAGACUAAUCG